rnacentral:rRNA from 1 species
GACAGAGGGGGCAAGCGUUGUCCGGGGUUACUGGGCGUAAAGGGCGCGGAGGCGGUCUGCGGCGUCGGCGCUGAAAGCGCCCCGCUUAACGGGGCGAGGCGUGCCGAUACGCGCAGACUUGAGGCGAGCAGAGGGUGGUGGAAUUCCGGGUGGAGCGGUGAAAUGCGUAGAGAUCCGGAGGAACGCCAGUGGGGAAGCCGGCCACCUGGGCUCGUCCUGACGCUGCGGCGCGACCUCGUGGGGAGCAAACCGG